rfam:Dipodomys ordii contig_27092, whole genome shotgun sequence.
GGGAAGUUGGCUCAGUUGUAGAGUGCUUGCCUUGCAUGCAUGAGGCCCUGGGUUCAAUUCCUCAACACCACA